GCAGUUGUGGCCGUGUGGUUAAGGCGAUAGGCUUGAAUUCUAUUCCUCUCUAAGGGCGUAGGUUCGAACCCUACCAAUUGCG
rfam:Daphnia pulex DAPPTscaffold_73_Cont3741, whole genome shotgun sequence.